AUGGAGAAGUCCACUGCAGCAUCUGAAAAUGGUCCAGAGACACGGAUGAGACGCUCCAUCACUCCAGCUCUUACUGUCUCAUCAGGACCAGAUGCUGCUGUGGUCUCUUCAUCCUCAGUGACCCCAGCAGCCAGAGCAUCUAGAGAAAGACCAAAAGACACUGAGGAUUUGAUUUUGGUAGUGGUGCUCAUGGAGAGCAGCACACGAUUGUUUGGAGCAGACACAGCAGCAGUCAGAUUGUCCUGCAUGUGUUCUUCUGCUCUCGCUUCAAGGUUGUGUGGUGAGAGCCGACAUCAUGGUCUUCCUUACCUGUUGCUCAACGACAUCCCCGUUGAGAAGAGUGAGAUUAUGAAGCACAGCAGAACUGUCUCAGCUGUGUUGAGAUGAUAGUAAGAUGUGGGGUUCACCAUCUGUAAAUACAUGAUUGUUAGAACAGUAAGUUUGAAUGAAGCUUUGUUUCAUGUGUUGUUGACUUGUACAUGUAUGCAUUUAUUGUGAUGCCAACAUUUAUACAUUCUUUUAAUCAUUUAGACAUGUUUCUUGUUGUCAGUAAAUAAAAUAUAAAUAUUUGAUCUAUUCAUGUAUUAAUUGCUUGACUGAAAACUGAUGUAUUCACAUCAACUGCAUUAGUGUAUAUUCAUGUAUAGCUAUGUCACGACAGAAAAAUACAUUUUGCUUCUUUUACUAAAAUUAAUUUUAAGAAAAAGGUAUAUAACUAUUGGUUGGCAUUUAUCAUUAUUAUUGCAUGUAAGUGUUGGGGUGUGCAAAAGAUGCAAUUCAUUAUGGGGUAAUGUUAAUUUUUGAGUAGUAAUACUUACAUUUUUAGAGUAUAAAAUCAACAAUCUUCUCCAAAGGCAAGAUCUUCGAGCAGCUGUUCGACGUUUCGUUUGUGCAGAUAUUGUCGCUGAGAGAAACUGUACUGGACUGUUGAGUUAGUGAUGCUGUGAGGUGGUAGUGCACCUGACCCUCUUUUUUAUUAUUAUUGCCAAACUUUUUACAUAAAAGAUCAUGGUAAGAGGGUUGUAUCUAACAAUAACAAUCAUAACGCCAUAAAACAGUAAAUAAAAAUUUAACGUGUUCAUCAUAGUAUGAGAUACUAUACAAGAAAAAAAAUUCACAUAAAAUAAUUGAAAAAAUAUUCUUAAAAAUAUAAAAACUUAAAUUAACAGUAUUGGCUAUGCUACAAUCUUCAUUAUCAAGAUACAAAUACAUUUAUUAAACCUGUCACUCAUAUCUUUUAAGUUUUUUUACGCUCAUUUUUAACUUUGUAGGUCACAUGAUCAACAUAGCGGAUGAUGAUAUCCGCAUUAAUGCUUCAUACACAAAUACGCAUUCAGGCUGUAGAGCAUGUACUCUUUUAUCGCUCUUUAAAUUAGUUCUUAUUGAAAUUAAGUGCCUAAUUAAAGGGUAUGCGGUUUCGAACGCAGCCGGACAAAAUCUCGUUUUGACAUCUCGCGUGGUUCUGUGUGAUUUGGACAACUUCAAGUUACGCCUCUUUCGUCAAGUUACGCCCACUUCAAGUUACGCCCCUGUCUUGCAGUCUGCAGACAGACCCUUCUCAAAAAUGGGGGCAAAAACAAAAAUGUUGCAUCUAUAAUUUUGUUCAGUGAAUAUUUUUUUUAAUAUAUAUAAAUAUAUAUAUAUAUAUAUAUAUAUAUAUAUAUAUAUAUAUAUAUAUAUAUAUAUAUAUGUCAUGAUCUCUAGCUGGAGUGCCUGUGAGCUUCAGUAGAGGGCACUCCACUCAGGACUCAUUCAGAACUCCAUUUCCCAUCCUGCCUCACUCCUGGGACUGAUUGCACACACCUGCACCUAAUUACACACACCUGCAGCUAAUACACACACACACACCCAUAUAAGCAGCACACUCACACCAUCACACUGCGAAGUCUUGUUUAGCGCCGUCUAACAUUUCCGAGCGUUUUCCCUUUGUUUGUUCUUCCGUGUCUGACUUGUGGAUUGUGUAUUCUGACUCUGAUUCUCUGCUGCCUGCCCCGAUCUCUGCUUGUUUCUGGUUUCGAUUCUGGUUACCCCUGACAACAUUCCUGAUUUCCACCUGUCUGACCACUCUGUUAAUAAAUACUGCAAUUGGAUCCGAACGUCUCUGACUCUCCAUUGUAACUAUAUAUAUAUAUAUAUAUAAUAUUUUUUUUAUAUUUAUAUUUUUUAUUUUCAAAUGGUUAUAUUUUUAAUUAUUUUAGUACUGUGUUACUCAUUGUUAUGAAUUACAAGAUGUUACAGUCCAUGACAAUAUAAUAUUUUUUUUGCAAAAAGUGUCUUAAAUAGCUGAAAAUCAUGAUUUCUUGUUGUCCGAAUUAGUCAGUGCAUUUUGUUUUAUCAUAAAUAAAAAAUAAAUAAAAAUAAAACAGAGCUUGUGUCGGUGUAACAUCUUGUGUCGGUGAAGACAAAAUGUCAAAGUGCCAUGAAAUCAAAAACAGACUACUGUAGAGAACAAUAAAAGAAACAGAAUUCAGCAGGUAUUGCAUGUGUAAAAGAUAAUAGUUUUGCAAUAAAGAACUCAAACUGUUUUUUAUGUUUUAAAACUAUUAUCUCCUAAAGUUGAUGUGGCAUGAACAUUAUAACAUAACACAAACCCAUAACACUAUCAGUAUCUCACCACAACAUUAAAUUUUUGUACCAUGCCCAAUUAUUUCUCAUUUCGGACUGAUAAGUAGUCUUAUCAGACUACUUGGGAUCGCCAAGGGUCUGCCAGUCUCCAUCGGUGUCAUGGCUGGUGGAUCCCUCUUCUCCUCCUCCAGCCUCUGAGUCUCCAACUCCGCCUCGACCCAGCGGCUCCACCUUGGCUC
ensembl:lncRNA